rnacentral:tRNA from 1 species
CCAGGUGGCUCAGUGGUGAAGAAUCUGCCUGCAAUGCAGCAAACGCAGGUUUGAUCCCUGCGUCUGGA